CAGUGGCUGCAGUGGUGAUGAGGAGGGAGAGGAGAGAGAAAGCAGAUGGGGGAGCUAAGGGGAAGCAGCGGCCAGCGGAGCGGUUAGAUGAGAUCGCAGAGAAGACGUAACUUAACGCUGCUGCGAAGUGCAUAAGUCAUUCUGACUCCUAGCAAGUCACAGUUUGACUCCCUGGUUCCUGAGUGUAUUCCACAGUUCCCAGUGAUUUGACCUUGCUUUGCCUUAUUCCUGGUCUGCAUUGCCUGCUGUCUACAGUUUUUCACUCGGCUUUCACCACAAUAGGAUUACACAGACUUAAGCCAUUAAUUUGUACCUUCAGUAAACCUGUAAGCUUCCUGGUUCUCAGUCUGCAACCACUACUGCUUGGUCAAGUGCCUAUGUUUCUAAGCUUCACUACAGACUAAAGUUCUGUAUAGAUGCCACCUGAGUCUGCAGCCUGCUUCUGAUUACAGUGCUCACCAUAGCCUUCUACAAGGAUGUUGUAGUGAUCCUGAACUUUGUCAUGUGAUUAACCUCUGUGUGCCAGUCAGCUGUAUUGGUUCAGUGAGUACUUUACCUCCAUGUCCAGUCAUUGCACCAGAACACAGCAGCACAGUCUCUCUCCACCAACAUCCAGUGGCAGUUUGCUCCUGUUCAAGUUCAGCCUUAUUCAGUCAGUACAGUGUGGCAUCUUAUCCUGUUUUAUCUUGCACUCUUCAGUGCUACAGCAGUGCAUCCAAGUCUGUCUCCAUUCCGGUUCAGGUUUCCAACUCCAGUCUGGUCCAAGUCUGUUCCAGCUCAAGUAUCUGACUCCAGUCCAAUCUAAGUCCAGUUCCAGUCUGCUCCAGUAUCCAAUUGAUUCCAGUCCAUUUCAGUAUCCAGUUCCAGUCAGACACUGGAAGCAACCCAGUGUCCAGUCAAUUCCAAGUUACUACAGCAACUGAACAGGACUGCCUGAUGCUGUGUCUGCUGACUAUCCUGACGGAUCUGGACAGGGCGGAUCCUGAUCAAUAGGUGCUGUUGUACGCAGUGGUGAGAAGAUGAUGGUAUAAGUGAGGGAAGAGGGCCCUGCUCAUAAGAGCUUACAGAUGCGUACGCCGUACAGACCGACAUUUACUAUUCAAUGUGGCCAGAGCCCAUGCCUCCCGGUUCACUCAUCUCUGUUUCACAGGUUUGUAAAUCAAGGGAUAAAAGCAGUGGCUGUCGUCAAGAUGUUCUUUUACUAACAAGCAAUAAAAGUAACUGACAUACUGUAAUUAGGCUGUGGUUUAUAUUUGGCUGUGAACCCAUUCACACUGGAACACAUACAGUAGUUGCCUACCCUCCCUCAUUCUGCAGGAGACUCCCUGAAAUAGCAGCGAUCUCCCUCACUCUCUGAAUAUACCAGCAAUCUCCCUGAUUGCACCUUAUCCCCAUUAUGCAGCUGUUACA